CUUGAUGGUGGCUGUGCGCAUGGCGUCUUCGGGCGCGCCGGGUUUUGGGAAACUUUACCGGUCGACUAACUUGCGCACGGCCACCACCCUU
rnacentral:antisense_RNA from 1 species